rnacentral:rRNA from 1 species
AACGCUGGCGGCGUGCCUAACACAUGCAAGUCGAACGGAAUGAGGGGGCUUGCUCCUUCAUUUAGUGGCGCACGGGUGAGUAACGCGUAGAUAAUCUGCCUGAUGAUCUGGGAUAACACUUCGAAAGGGGUGCUAAUACCGGAUAAGCCCACGGAGUCUUUGGACUCUGCGGGAAAAGGGGGGGACCUUCGGGCCUUCUGUCAUCAGAUGAGUCUGCGUACCAUUAGCUAGUUGGUAGGGUAAUGGCCUACCAAGGCUACGAUGGUUAGCUGGUCUGAGAGGACGAUCAGCCACACUGGAACUGAGACACGGUCCAGACUCCUACGGGAGGCAGCAGUGGGGAAUUUUGCGCAAUGGGCGAAAGCCUGACGCAGCAACGCCGCGUGAGUGAUGAAGGCUUUCGGGUCGUAGAGCUCUGUCGAGGGGAAAGAAAUGUAUUGUGGUUAAUACCCGCGAUACUUGACGGUACCCCUAAAGGAAGCACCGGCUAACUCCGUGCCAGCAGCCGCGGUAAUACGGGGGGUGCAAGCGUUGUUCGGAAUUAUUGGGCGUAAAGCGCGUGUAGGCGGUCUGAUUAGUCUGAUGUGAAAGCCCUGGGCUCAACCCAGGAAGUGCAUUGGAUACUGUCAGACUCGAAUACGGGAGAGGGUAGUGGAAUUCCUAGUGUAGGAGUGAAAUCCGUAGAUAUUAGGAG